rnacentral:misc_RNA from 1 species
GCGCAAGUUGCCACCAUCAUCGUUGCUCGCCGCUCCUUCGUCCAUCUCUGGCACCUUCUCCCCUCUUCGGCUUCCCAUCCCCGCUCAGUGCUACCGUCAGAGGGGAUGGGAGGGGGGAGGGCACACAUCACGUACCAUAAAAGAAAACGAACAAGGAGGAGAAGGACUCGACCAAAAGAACGGAGCCCCCCACUCUAAAGCAAAAGCCGACGAACGACGACGCAGCAGCUCGUAGAACCAAAGCAGCAACAACACCGACCAAGGUGACCACACCGACUUGACAGGCGUGCGCACGACCAUUUCCAUCCUUCCCUCUUUGUACGUAUGCAACAAACUCAUUGUUUUCGGUUGUUCCGGUAGAACGUCGCUCAGGUAGAAAGUGUGGCCGGUCAGCUACGCGUUUGGCAUCCGCCACCUCCCCCUCCUUCUCGUGUAGCAGAGCACCCCCUUUUUUCCAUCUUGAGCCUCAUCGUAUAUAUUGGAUGCGCCUUUUGCGUCUCAAACAGUUUGCCUUACCCUUUUUUUUUGUCUCGUUUCCACGCUGCACGGCCUGCUCCCCACCGCCCACACACACACACACGUGAACCUGCGCACGUGCGUCAUCACUCGGUGGUCUCUACUAUUAACAGCAUCAUUGUUGUGUGCAUAGCUCUUCGUCUGCUGCCGCUUCUGCUUUCCCUCACCGUUUGUGCGCAUCCCCACGUCUAUACAGGCACAAACAUCUCUACAUAUAUAUGUAUACGCCCUUCUCUUUCUCUCUCCUCCCCCACACACGCUCGUCUUGAAGGGGUGAGCAGCCUGUGCGUGUGUGUUUGCGCCCCCCCCCCGAUACACUCCUCGUCUUUUUUUUUGUGUUGUUUGUGUUGUUCUUCUUGUAUUCUCUGUCUUUGUCUUCCGCUGGUUUCCUUUGUCUCCGUUGUACGUGUCUUGUCGGCUUCCCCCUCCCUUUUGCGGUCUUGUGCUAACACCCACCGCACUCCUCUAACCCUCCGCCCCCUGCCCUUGCACACGCUCUCAUCCUCUUACUCGCUCCGCGCUGUUUAGGCCGCGCACGUGUCACCUUUAUCUCCUACCCACCGCUCGACUGUGCUGUACCGCCUCUCUAUGUGUCUUUCCCUUGCUUCCUGUUACGCGCACACUUCUUCUUCGUCUCCUUUUGCGGUGGACUUUUGCGCUGUGGGGCCUGCCUUGUUGCUACCGCUAUAGCGGUAAAGAUGCCGUCCAGCCGCGGCGUAGCCCUCUCCAUCUCCUUAGCGGAGGCGGAGGUGUCCCCGGGUGGCACGCUGCGCGGUGAGGUCGAGGUGAAAGUCGACUCCUCGCACAAGAACGGCAUCGUCUACGAGGCCAUACGCCUUGUUUUUCUAGCAGUGGAGAAGAGCUGUGUGUGGGAUGAUCAGGGCGAGUUCGAUGAGCUGCUGAACAAGUACACGUCGUCACGUGUCUACCUCGAUCGCCACGUGACGCUCACCGGCUUCAAAACGCAGUCCGAGGAUGCUGAGACCACCGCGCAGGUUCGGGAGGAGAUGCUGUUCCUCCAGCACUGCGCCACCCCGUACGCCGCGGUGGCGCCGACGAAGCCUAAGAAAGACGCGUACCGCCAUUACACACGCGAGGAGCUGCUGCACGGUGCCAUCCAAAUGGCGGCCACGACGAAGUGCACCACGGGCGGGGCGGUCGCCCCUGACGCCAACGCCGACACUAACAACUGCGUGGGAAGUCAGGAGUCUGUGCAAGGCGGUGACGGGCCGCGCUCGGCAGCGGCUGCCCCAAGAGGGGGUGCCACGGAAGUGGAGUUUCCCGUGCUGAUGCCCGGAACCCACCGUUUCCCUUUUCUGUUUCGCCUGCCUCCCUGGCUACCGCCUUCCUUCUACUACUCCUUCGUUGGCGCCAAGGGGCAGCUCCAGUACUCGGCGUCCGCCACGAUGUUGUUCCCCGGCAACGGUGCCGGCUCAUGGUGGUUCAAAAUCUGCAAGGACACGAGCGGGACAACGCGUGAUACGGAGAAUACCUUCAGAGCUGCCGGCGCCGGCGCCCCCUCUGCCAAGAGGGAGCGCAAGCGACCGGGCCGCGGUGAGUCGGGGGAGGGCGUCAUAGACCUGAACGAUGACGAAGUCGGUGAGCGCACGAAUCGGCGUCUUACCAGCAUGCCCGUCUACGGCCCAUCAGACCUCAUAACCGUCAUCCACUUCGACGUGCUGUCCGUGAUGCCGCGUCGUCAGCUAGUGGCCGAGUACUACCAGAUCGACACCCACAACCUGCAUCAGCGACCGACGAACGCGCCACGGGAGGCGGAGAACGCCGGUAACAGCAGCAGCAAUAGGAACGGUGCAAAGAAACUGCGAAGACGCGUUGACAAGAGCAACGAUGCCGGGGACGUGAAGCUAUCCGGCGUGUCGACGGGGUUGCUGGAGCACCACGAGGACACGCACUUGGCCCUGUCCGCGCUCUACCAAACGUUCCGCUGCGGCUGGCUGGGGAACAUGUGCUGCCUGCAGCCGCAGAACGCAAUCGAGGCGGAGGUGCUCGUGGUGGGUGCGCGGACGGUGCUGUUGGCCGACGACUUCGGUGCCUUGCAGGCGCUCGGGGUACGACCGCCGAUCACGUCCGACGCUCCACAACUUGGCGGCCCGGCGCUCCACGCCCCCGACAUUGUCCCCUCGCCUGACAUGGCGGUUGCGGCGCCCAAUACGCCAUGGCCGGUUGGCGGCAUCACGCUGCGUGUGCGUGUGCGCAACUACUGCCCCACACAUACAGUAGAGUGCGUGCGAGUAGAGCUGAAGGUGAUGGUGGAGAUCUUCAAGUCCCUCAAGACCCCGCACACCUUUCCUGGCAUCUCCUACUCGAGUUUCGACUACACAAUUCCCAUUCCUCCUGGCAACCAGGCGCUCUUCGAUGUGAGGCUCGGCCUGAAGCCGCGCUUCCGUCGGCACGAGACCGACAGCGAGUCACUCCUGCCACCGCCUGGAGUACGAACAGCUAACAUGACGAGCAACACCUUCUUACAGGUCAGCUUCCCCGGCAUGUACACGUACGUUGAAGAGGAGGAAGAGAAGAAGGGUGUCGUCAUCAUGGCGGAGACGGUGGACCUGAAUGACGAGGUGCUCGAACUGCCGGUCCGGUACAGUUGAUCGACGACACGUUGUGCACCUGCAUACGCCGCGGUCGACAUCGCCAGAUCCAGUCUUCAGCGGAGGCACCAUGAGAGGGGGGCAGCGGCACGUCCUUGUCCUCAAGCUCCGCACGGCACGCAUAUAGCCGCGCAGGUGUGUGCGGAGACGGCUGCUGCGUUAACGCUCCAUCUCACCAGCAGAGACAGCGAGAGAGAGGGGCGUGCACGUGUGGGCGUUAGCAAAGGCUUCUUCUGAUAGCCACAGCCACAGACGCAUACAUACACGCACACACACACACACACACACACACACACACAAGUGCCGAUGGGCCCUUUGCUGCCUCGUCCUUUUCCUCUUUUCCUUUCUUCAGUUGUGCACAGAGCGACGAACACAUGAUGGCACUCUUCUCGCUUCAGACCCUCCUAUCCCAUCCCCCUCCCCUCCCUGGCUCUCCACUGUGGCUCACUCGUCGGAGACACAUGUCGGUGUGCGCGAUACCGAUCUUUUUCUUUUCAGGGGUUUUGUGCGCCCAUUGACUCGCUUGUUCUUCUUCCCUACUUCGUAUUUGUGCGUAUGCGCAUGUUUGUACCAUGGACUGCAUUGUGUGCGUGUUUUGUGUUUCUCCUUCUCCGUGGGCGAUUUGCUUCUUUUUAUUCUUGUGCGCACCUGCUACGCGCUGUUAUUUGUUGCGCACUGCAUGGCGGUCAUGGCUGCGCGCCUGCGGUUACGCCCUCACCCAGGAAACGCAAAACCAGCAACAGAAAAGCAGCUGCAGGUUCCACCGACAUUUUUAUCAGACAGACAGACAGGCGCGCGCGCACACACCCACACACCGCUGCCAGUCGCUGCGAUCGCAAGCUAUGCGGGCCAUCUUGCGGUAGUUUCGAUGUCGUCGGCAAGGGGAUGUGCCCGUGUGUCUUAUCGACUUUCUUUUUGUCUUCUUCCUCCACCUCCGCCUCCAUCCGUCCUCCACAUGGCUCCUGCCUUCUGCCCUUUAUCGAAG